CGUAUCCAAGGAGCGUUGCGACAGACACCGUCUGCCAGGCUUGGUACAGUCAUUUUGCAACUGCGCUCACGUUAC
rfam:Collimonas fungivorans Ter331, complete genome.